UGGGGAAUAUUGGGCAAUGGGCGAAAGCCUGACCCAGCAACGCCGCGUGAGUGAAGAAGGUUUUCGGAUUGUAAAGCUCUGUUGCAGGGGACGAAAAAAAUGACGGUACCCUGUGAGGAAGCCCCGGCUAACUACGUGCCAGCAGCCGCGGUAAUACGUAGGGGGCGAGCGUUGUCCGGAAUUAUUGGGCGUAAAGGGUGCGUAGGCGGUUUUUUAAGUUAGGUGUGAAAUACCCGUGCUUAACAUGGGGAUGGCAUUUAAAACUGGAGAACUUGAGUACAGGAGAGGCAAGUGGAAUUCCCGGUGUAGCGGUGAAAUGCGUAGAGAUCGGGAGGAACACCAGUGGCGAAGGCGACUUGCUGGACUGUAACUGACGCUGAGGCACGAAAGCGUGGGGAGCAAACA
rnacentral:rRNA from 1 species